AAUGAACGUUGGCGGCGUGGAUUAGGCAUGCAAGUCGCGCGACAAGGAACCUUCGGGUUCUGGAGGAGCGGCAAACGGGGUAGUAAGGCAUCGGAACGUACCCUCUUGUUGGGAAUAGCCGCGGGAAACUGCGAGUAAUGCCCAAUAAUCCCUACGGGGCAAAGGCCCGCCGCAGGAGGAGCGGCCGAUGUGAUACCAGCUAGUUGGUGAGGUAAUGGCUCACCAAGGCUUAGACGUCUAGGGGGUGUGAGAGCAUGGCCCCCACCACUGGGACGUGAGAUACUGCCCACGACACCUACGGGUGGCUGCAGUCGAGAAUCUUCGGCAAU
rnacentral:rRNA from 1 species